UACGUAGGGCGCAAGCGUUGUCCGGAAUUAUUGGGCGUAAAGAGCUCGUAGGCGGUUUGUUGCGUCGGCUGUGAAAACCUGAGGCUCAACCUCAGGCCUGCAGUCGAUACGAGCAGACUAGAGUGUUGCAGGGGAGACUGGAAUUCCUGGUGUAGCGGUGAAAUGCGCAGAUAUCAGGAGGAACACCGGUGGCGAAGGCGGGUCUCUGGGCAACAACUGACGCUGAGGAGCGAAAGCGUGGGGAGCGAACAGG
rnacentral:rRNA from 1 species